UCAAUGAAGCCGUUGAGCUGGCGUGUUGCUGACGAGGUGCUUACCUCAAAAGUCAGUGUUGUCUGCUGCUGUGUGCACACCCCGACUUCAAACCACUGUCUCUUCAACGGAUAUUUUUCAUGUCCAUGGUGCUUGUCAAGGGGGAGCAUAUUGAAGGAACAAUGAGGUUUCCAGAUGCAGCUCCAGUUGGCGAGAGAAUAGCAAAUGGGACGCUCAGGGAUAUGACGUUGGCAGUGCAGUAUGGUCGCCCUGGGAACGGAGUAAAGAGCCACCUGCUUUGGUUAAUCAGCGGCAUUUCGACAUCAUAUGGGGUCAAAGUAUUGACUACAUGCACUGUGUGCUCCUGUGAGUGGCAAAGCAACUCAUGGAAAUUAUCUUGUCAUCAACCAGUGCAGGUUUUGCUGCUUCUGUCGAAAUCAUUGACAAACGACUCCUUGCCAUCAAGCCCCCUGACAGCUUCACAAAGCUGCCGAGAUCCCUUAGAGUGCGCAGACUGGAAAGCGAACGGAUGGCAAAAUUUGAUUUGUUUCUAUUGCCUUCCAUGCACUCUGGGCGUCAUCCCAUCCCAGCACUGGAACCAAGUGAAAGGACGGGCUGAAGGCACGUACAUUCUGCUCUCCACAGAACUCACACCAGUAAUGCUGCAAC